GAGACAGUUCGGUCCCUAUCCAUCGUGGGCGCAAGAGGUUUGAGGGGAGCUGCUCCCAGUACGAGAGGACCGGAGUGGACGGACCUCUGGUGUACCAGUUGUGCCGCCAGGCGCAGACGCUGGU
rnacentral:rRNA from 1 species